rnacentral:misc_RNA from 1 species
GAUUAAAUAACACACUAGCAGUCAUAAUAGCCAUGAAGUCAGCGAAACUAAUGUUCCUCUAAUCACUGCAUUAGGCAAGUUUUUAAAAGCCGAGGCAGUAUAUCUGCGGUGAAAAUAUUAUCUUCGCACAACCGCUAAAUGCCUCCCAGAAUGUUCCAUACUAUGGUCUAUGCUAUUCCAGGGUUUUACAUCUGACUAUUCCAAACCACUGCUACAUUAUACAGUAAUAUGUUCAGACAAAUUCUAUGGUUAAAACAUGAUGUUAUGAACGGGUUACGGAGAAAACGGACCCCAGCGGAAACGGACCCCAAAAAUCGAGAAAACGGCCACCGCGAUGCAGAGAAUGGCCUCCGAACCUAGAGAAAACGGCCAACAUAGUUGCACGAAGAUCAAAGGAGAUUAUAUGAUUAUAUAUAUCCUCAAUAAUAGAGAUUUACUUCAUUGCGAAUAAGCUUUUAAAAACUGAUUGAUUUGGUUGGGUUUUUAUAUUCGAUAUCCAUAGCGGUUUAGACAAGUCUUGUCUAGGGAUCCGAGAUUCGCCGUGAAUUGUUUCUGAUGAAGACCAGAAACCUUGGGUAGUUGGUUUGAAUGAAAUAUUAUGAACCUUAGCGAAAACACAGCACAAAACCUCCCUGGUUUUCAGCGACGAGAUAGGGGCCUAAGAACAGACUUUCUACCCUACUAAACUGAAGACGUCAUAAGAGUGAUACACUGUUCAAAGUCACGUAAAACAUCACGCACUCAUCAAAGACACAUUACAGAACGACUUCAGCGUGACACAGUCGUCCAAAGGCAAAAUCCCCUGGAUGAAAUACGACGGAGAGGCUGUAGAAGACUCCCAGUUCUGUGUGGAGUAUCUGAACCGGAAGUUAAACAUUAACCUAAACAGUCACCUGACCGAAGAACAACGAGCUAUUGCGCAUGCGUUUAGGAAGAUGGCGGAAGAGAACCUGUACUGGUGUAUGGGGAUGGCUAGAAUUGAAAAUAUGGAGUUUAUGACAAGUAUGCCUGGAAAUAGAUUCAACAAACUAUUUAUUUGGUAUGGUAUACGCGUGUAUCGGAACCAAAUGAAAGCUCACGGAAUCGGACGACACUCCCAUGAAGAAAUCCUGCAUAUUAUGGAGGGUGAUUUGAGAUCACUGUCAGUCUACCUAGGAGAUAAGAAGUUCUUUUUCGGCGAUCAACCAUGUGAGACAGAUGCUGCUUUGUUUGGACAGUUGUCGCAGAUUUACUGGCAGUGUCCAGGAAGCAAAGGGGAACAACUCUUGAACGGUAGACCAAAGGAGUUAUCUCAUCUUUGAAGCAUUCUUUGAAGAGCCCCUAGACUAUGCCAUAAAAUCCGUUCAAACAAUAUUUCCGAAAAGUUCACAAAUCUGGUGGAGUAUUGCGAACGAAUGAAGGCGGCAUUUUGGCCGGACUGGGAGGACUGCAUCACGGUGGAAGGAACUAAAACUGCAACAAAAUGACACGAGAACUUAUUAAAUGGUCCUGAUGAACGUCAGUUGUUAAACCGGAAGUUAAUGAUGGUUCACGUUGCAUGAUCCUAACGUCGUUGUAAUCCUCUGAAGAAAAGAUGUCAGUCCAAAUAAAGAAUGCAUGAAGAUACCACACCAAACUAGAAUGCACACUAAACUGAUGUAAAUGACGUUUAUUGAUGAUGAAUAUUGUGACGUCAUUAUUUUGAGUAAAGGUGAUUAUUUGCCAAA